rnacentral:tRNA from 1 species
GGCCUGCAGGUUCCAGAUCGCACUCCUAACGCGAAGGUCGCAGGUUGGACUCCUGCCCGGGCCACCA